rnacentral:rRNA from 1 species
UCCAGACUCCUACGGGAGGCAGCAGUGGGGGAUAUUGCACAAUGGGCGCAAGCCUGAUGCAGCGACGCCGCGUGAGCGAAGAAGUAUUUCGGUAUGUAAAGCUCUAUCAGCAGGGAAGAAAAUGACGGUACCUGACUAAGAAGCCCCGGCUAACUACGUGCCAGCAGCCGCGGUAAUACGUAGGGGGCAAGCGUUAUCCGGAUUUACUGGGUGUAAAGGGAGCGUAGACGGUUAUGCAAGUCUGAAGUGAAAGCCCAAGGCUCAACCAUGGGACUGCUUUGGAAACUGUAAAACUGGAGUGCAGGAGAGGUAAGCGGAAUUCCUAGUGUAGCGGUGAAAUGCGUAGAUAUUAGGAGGAACACCAGCGGCGAAGGCGGCCUGCUGGACGAUGACUGACGUUGAGGCUCGAAAGCGUGGGGAGCAAACAGGAUUAGAUACCCUAGUAGU